rnacentral:ncRNA from 1 species
GACAAAGCCAUGACGGGAACAAGUAGCGGCUGUCUCCCUGGUGCAGAGAGCUGGCGGGCGGUGCGAGCCAGCCCAAAGGCAGGCGUGAAUUACCUCCCUGAGCAGCGAUGGCGAACGGUUUCGUUUUUUGCGGUCGGGUCAAACGAGGCAUCGGCUCCGUUUUGCGACGGAGCUGGCGCGGAGGACCACGCCGCUGGCGGCCUAGUAGCCAUUGGCCGGCAUGCGCCGUUACCGAAAUGAGCGAGAAAGCCUAUGGCUUUCUAAGUAGGGUGGUACCGCGAUGAACACUCGCCCCUUCA